CAACUUUAUUGGAUUGAAGGAUGCUUAGAUAGCUGAUAAAGUAUUGUUUCUGGGUGUGUCUGUGAAGGUGUUGCCAGAGGAGAUUGACAGUUGAGUCAGUGGACUGAGAAAGGAAGACCUACCCUCAAUGUGGGUGGGCACCAUCCAAUCUGCUGCCAGCACAGCCAGAACACAGUAGGCGGAAGAAGGUGGGAUAGGCUGGCUUGAUGAGCCUUCUGACUUUCACCUUUCUCCCCUGCUGGAUGCAUCCAUCCAUCUCUCCCUCCUGCCUUCAGACAUCAGACUCCAGCUUCUUUGGCCUUUGGACUCUUAGACUUACACUAGUGGUUUGCUGGGGGCUUUCCGGCCUUUGGCCACAGACUGAAGGCUGCAUCGUCAGCUUCCCUACCUUUGAAGAUUUUGGACUUUGACUGAGUCACUAUUGGCUUCUUUCUUCCUCAGCUUGCAGACGGCCUAUCAUGGGACUUCACCUUGUGAUCAAAGGAGAAGGACUGAGGUGUUCUAUCUCUUUCCGGCACAAAUCAUCACUUCACAUAUCCCUUCUAGACAGCAGCUGUAUGAUAGCAUGAUACUUUUUUCUACUUGUUCUGAAGUGUGAACCGGAAAGAGCAGAAAGUGUUAGCCAGAGAAAAGACAUCCCUCUGUGAGGUUGUUUUGGGGUGAGAUAAACAUUUAAAUUGGUGAACUUUGAGAGGAAAAUUAGAAGACAAGUAUCCUCAUUUCCACCUGGAUCCAGUCUUUCUUCCUUAUUACUUUUAUUAACAAUAUCAGUUAAGGUUUAUAUGGAUGUCUUGCUUUGGCCUGUACAAAAAACUACUUUGUAUAUGCCUUAUUUUAUUAAUUUUGCUUCUGAAUUUCAUCAAAUUCUCUGAUCAUAACUCUAUAUUCUUGUAAGGAAUGCUCAGAAUUAUACUAUUUCACUCCAAAUUUUAUUAUUAUUGAGACGAAACUGGGUAUAGAAAGUUGUGGGACCAGUUUGUAAUUUAUUGCUUUAAAAUUUGGUCAAGCCACUCAAAUUCUCUAGCUGUACCUAUGAAAUAGCUUUAAUAUUUCAAUCCCCUGCAUUUUCUUUGAAUAAUAUGGAGUUUGAAUUGAAGUGGUCCUGAAUUUGAGUGCUGCAUAUGCUACUUUUGAGAUAUGUGAUCUUGAGCAAGUUGCUUAAUCACAUUAAACCUCAAUUCUCUCAUCUUUAAAAUAGAAAAAAUAAUAGCUACUUUACAGUGUUGAGAAAAGAAUAAGAUGAAACAGUUUAUUAAAAACAUAGAAGAGUGCUUAAGACAUAAUAAAGUCUACAUAAAUUGUGCCUAUUGUUAUUACUAAUAAAAAAAAAAGAAAUUCUACGUGUCAGGAAUUUGAACAAAUUACAGCUGGAUUUGCAUAUUUCUUCCACAAGAUGUAUGUGGUCCCAUCUGAUAAUAGGGAAUUGGUUGGUAACUGGAAUCUUCUUGGAAACCUCUUAAAUCACAGAUCUUGCACUUGUACUGGGAUAAUCUGGAGUGUGUGCUCCUCUGAGUUUGUUGACCAAAUCACCUACAGGUGAACUCUCCAUAUAUGUAUUUUCCUAGUCAAUUCCUACACUGACCUCAAGCAAACACUGAUCAGCUUUCUGUCAUAAUAGAUGCGAUUUACUUUUUUAGAAUUUAAUAAAACUCAAAUUAUACUGUAUGCAUCCUUUUGUGUCUGGAUUGCUUUUUUUUCUCUGCCUUACAUUGUUGAAUAUAUUCUAGGUAUGUUUUACUAAUUGCUUGGUUGUAUAUUAAUGCAUACUGCAUUUUGUUUAUCCAUUCAACUAUUGAUGGAAAUUGGAGUUGUUUUCAGUUUCUGGUUAUAAAUAAAACAGCUAUGAACAUUUACAU
rnacentral:lncRNA from 1 species